AUGUUCUUCCACAUCGUGCUGGAGCGGAACAUGCAGCUGCACCCGCGGCACUUCGGCCCGCACCUCCGCGACAAGCUCGUCGCCAAGCUCAUGAAGGACGUCGAGGGCACCUGCAGCGGGCGGCACGGCUUCGUGGUGGCGAUCACGGGGGUGGAGGACAUCGGCAAGGGGCUCAUCCGGGAGGGCACGGGCUUCGUCACGUUCCCCGUCAAGUACCAGUGCGUCGUCUUCCGCCCCUUCAAGGGCGAGAUCCUCGAGGCCGUCGUCACCAUGGUCAACAAGAUGGGGUUCUUCGCUGAGGCUGGGCCUGUGCAGAUCUUUGUGUCAAACCAUUUGAUUCCUGACGAUAUGGAGUUCCAAUCUGGUGAUGUGCCAAACUACACUACUUCGGAUGGAUCGGUGAAAAUUCAAAAGGAAAGUGAGGUUCGUCUGAAGAUUAUAGGCACUCGUGUUGACGCAACAGAAAUUUUUUGCAUCGGCACGAUAAAAGACGACUUUCUGGGCGUUAUCAGUGAUCCUGGUGGAGCGCUGUAA
rnacentral:rRNA from 1 species